AUUAAAUAUUUGAAAAAAAAAAACAAAAAAUGUUAAUAUUAAUUGAAAAUUUAAAAUAUUUGAAAAUUUUUAACAAUUUAAAUGACCAAUUAAGGUCAACUUCAAUUACUUGAAAAUUAUAAUAUGAUUGAAAAGUAUUUAGACAAUUUUUUUGGAUAUACGAGUAACAAUGUGCACUAGAGAAAUAAAGCAGAAAAAAUAGUAAAUUUUUAUUUGAAUGCAUAAAAUGAAAAAAAAAAAAAUUGCACGGCCGCCACACUAUUUUGCAUGAAUUUAAUGCAAAAUUUUUUUUUUUUCUCGACAGCAAAUUAUCUAUAUUUCGUUCGUGGUGGAUAGGAUAAUCAAUAUAACUAUCUAUAAUUGUUGAAGAAGAAAGGAAAAGAAAGGAAAGCUUUAAGGAAAACAGAAGAAGAAGAUUUGCGGCCUAUAUCGCGUAAAUUUGAAGAAAAAAAACAAUGUUACGAGUACUUUUGUGUAGCAUGAUGCUAAGUGGUCAAAAUAAUGAUAAAUAUUAAUUUUGAUUUUAAAUCUAUAAGGAAAUUGUAAAAUUGAAUAAUUUUAUAAUUUAUUGUUUUUGGUACAACACGAACUAAAAUUUUUCUCAAAUUUUUUGUAAAUAUUAAUAUCAAAACUAACAUAUUUAUUAAUUCGAAAGAAAAAGAUAUUAUUACGGAAAAGAGGUCUUGAAUACUGUACCCUUAAUUUGAUAAAACAAAGAUAGGGUCUUUAAUGAAACAGAAAAAAUGUAUUCGGCAUUACUAUCCUUUAAAUAUUCUAGGGGCAUAAUAUAAAAAUAAAAUAUAUAUAAAUAAUAUAUAUAAUAUAUAUAUUUUAUAUAUUAUUAUACAAAUUAUUUCAAAAAAAGAAAAAAAUAUAUUAUUUCUGAAAAUCUAUCAAAAAUUAAAGUUAAAUUUUAUAAAAUUUUAUAAAAUUUUAUAAAAGGGUAAGUAAAUCAGGAUAUUUUGAUAUCUAGAUUAAAAUUAAGAAUAUUCUACUAAGUACCGCAGAUAAUAAAAUAUAAACUAAGAAGACUACUAAAUUUUAAAUUUUAAAAUUUUCUUUAUAGUAAGUAUAAGCAAAUUUUUUUAUUCUAAUAUACAAAAUUAUACAACAAUUUGUAAAUUAUUUAUUUUGGUCCUAUAUCUGUUCGGUAUACUAUUUGAGUAUCAUAUGCAGUCUCUUUUAAAUUUAACUUUUAAAAAAAAUAAUUUGAAAAGUGUCGCCACUAAUUUAAUUUAAAAAUUAACAAGCUAUUCGAAUAUUAAUGGAACGCAAUAAGGAAGAGAAUCAUAUUGAUUCGCAGAGUCCAAAUAAUUUCCAUUAGAAACGAUUUUAUGCGCUCUAUCUGAUAUAUAAAUAUUCAAGUUCGAGUUUUCUUGUAGUAUAUCAAAUAUUUUUAAAUUCGGCGUUGUAAAACUCAAUAAUAUUUUUGGUUUAAUCAUUGAAAAGUUAUAAAUUUUUAUGAAUAAACAAAAAAAAUUCCCUAUAUCUCUUGUUAACAUAAAUGACAUAGUUGGCAGUUCUAAUUUUUUAUAUAUUAAUUUAGCAAAUAUAAUUAUAAAACAAAUAUGUAGACAAGUAAUAUAAAUAAUAAUUUCUCAAAAAACAAUCUAUUUUUAUAUUAAAUAUAUUUUUAUUUUAUUAUUAUUCCAUAAAAUAGUGAAAAUUUUUUAUUGUUAAUUUUAAUAGAAAACCUCAA